AGCGAACGCUGGCGGCAGGCCUAACACAUGCAAGUCGAACGGAUCCUUCGGGAUUAGUGGCGGACGGGUGAGUAACACGUGGGAACGUGCCCUUUGGUUCGGAACAACUCAGGGAAACUUGAGCUAAUACCGGAUGUGCCCUUCGGGGGAAAGAUUUAUCGCCAUUGGAGCGGCCCGCGCCUGAUUAGCUAGUUGGUGAGGUAAAGGCUCACCAAGGCGACGAUCAGUAGCUGGUCUGAGGGGAUGAUCAGCCACAUUGGGACUGAGACACGGCCCAAACUCCUACGGGAGGCAGCAGUGGGGAAUCUUGCGCAAUGGGCGAAAGCCUGACGCAGCCAUGCCGCGUGAAUGAUGAAGGUCUUAGGAUUGUAAAAUUCUUUCACCGGGGACGAUAAUGACGGUACCCGGAGAAGAAGCCCCGGCUAACUUCGUGCCAGCCGCCGCGGUAA
rnacentral:rRNA from 1 species